AUUCUAUCUUUCCAUACUGCAUUAGCUGGUUAAGAAGCUAAUAUGUGAGAGCAAGCUACGCCUUAAGUGCAGAACAUUAGAACAUUAACAAGAGAUAGAGCUGGUGGACAUGAAAGGCAUGACACUUGAUACAGCCUGCAUUUAGAGGACAAAAUGGGAGAGAAAAGUAGGGAGAUUGGAACAUAGGUUACAAGCUUUGGUACGUGGGAAAGAAUGAGUACAGAGUGCUACAGGGAUUGUUGGCAACAGGAGCUUAAAAGAUGAAGUGGUUUGAGUAAACAGAAAGAAAGAGAAGAUUAACUUUUGAUGAAGCUAAUACUUUUAAGGAUAGACAAUAAAACACAUUAGCAUUAUGCAUCAGCUUGGACAUGAUAGUAAACAAAAAUUUAUAGGAUAAGAUGCACUAACUCAUCUAAGGGAUAUCGAAAGACAGAAAUAUCUUAAUGGAGGCGAUAUAAAUGGGAUUUGGAGAGGAUAAUGAAGGACUUCAAAUGGUGUAUGGAGGCUAUGGAAGUAGAUAUG
rnacentral:misc_RNA from 1 species